GGCUCGUUGGUCUAUGGGUAUGAUUCUCGCUUAGGGUGUGAUAGGUCUCGGGUUUAAUUCCCGGACGAGCCC
rnacentral:tRNA from 1 species